GGAGUGUGGGCGUGCCUGCUGUUGUUGCUGCCUGUGGUUAUUUUAAUCACCGUGAUUCUGCAGAAGUUCCACAAACCAGCUGUGGAUGAAUUUGUACAAGUUUUAUCCAAGAGCUUCGACACGUCCAGUCAGAACUCAUCAGCUAAUUCAUGUCCGAAGCCACCAAACUGUCCUGAGAAGCAUUUCAGCUUCUACAUCCGGAGCGGAGCCGCCAGCGUCGUGACUCCACAGAUCUGCUUCCAGGCCCAGAUG